AAAAGGUUGCUAUCCGAGAUCAAGUUUGUAGAUCUGAGGAUAGAUCUUCUCAAGAAGGAGGAGAUGAUGGACACCAUCCAGCCACAUCCAUUCCCCUAGCCAUGAAGAAGAAGAAGCAAUGGAUUUGAGGACAAAUCCUUUUCAAGAGGGAGGGGAUGAUGGAAGAGGCCCAAGCACAAGCCCACAUGCAAGCCCACCAAAGGGUAGAUUUGGGCCAACCAUAGAGUUAUGGCCAAGAGGAUCCAAGAAGACGUUCUUUUACAUGUUCAAAUGCCAUAAACUCUAGUGUAGAGUAGACUUUAAUUUCUUGUCAAAAUUAGCAUAGGAACUUUAUUUGUAAUUUUCUUAGAAUUAAUUUUUGCACCUAAAACACCAACCUAGGUAAACUUAGAGUUUCUAAAAAAACCUCUAAAUUUACCAAGGCCGAUCUAGAAAGC
rnacentral:lncRNA from 1 species